AGCUUUGCGCAGUGGCAGUAUCACAGCCAAUGAGUCUUAUCCUACGUGUGAUUAUAGCUUUGAAAACUUUUCCCAAUACCCUGCUGUGACGACUUACUGUGUAGUCAGCAUUAACAUUUUUUGGCAGUCUCUAUGGAGA
ensembl:snRNA U4 U4 spliceosomal RNA